rnacentral:rRNA from 1 species
AUGAACGCUGGCGGCGUGCCUAAUACAUGCAAGUCGAGCGAACAGACGAGGAGCUUGCUCCUCUGACGUUAGCGGCGGACGGGUGAGUAACACGUGGAUAACCUACCUAUAAGACUGGGAUAACUUCGGGAAACCGGAGCUAAUACCGGAUAACAUGUUGAACCGCAUGGUUCAACAGUGAAAGACGGUCUUGCUGUCACUUAUAGAUGGAUCCGCGCCGCAUUAGCUAGUUGGUAAGGUAACGGCUUACCAAGGCAACGAUGCGUAGCCGACCUGAGAGGGUGAUCGGCCACACUGGAACUGAGACACGGUCCAGACUCCUACGGGAGGCAGCAGUAGGGAAUCUUCCGCAAAGGGCGAAAGCCUGACGGAGCAACGCCGCGUGAGUGAAGAAGGUCUUCGGAUCGUAAAACUCUGUUAUUAGGGAAGAACAAAUGUGUAAGUAACUAUGCACGUCUUGACGGUACCUAAUCAGAAAGCCACGGCUAACUACGUG